AGAGUUUGAUCCUGGCUCAGAACGAACGCUGGCGGCGCGUCUUAAGCAUGCAAGUCGAACGGCAAGAGAGGAGCUUGCUUCUCUCCUAGAGUGGCGGACUGGUGAGGAACACGUGGGUAAUCUACCCUUAAGAUGGGGAUAGCUGCUAGAAAUAGCAGGUAAUACCGAAUACACUCGGCAUAUCACAAGAGAUGUUGAGGAAAGGAAGCUACGGCUUCGCUUGAGGAUGAGCUUGCGUCCCAUUAGCUAGUUGGUGAGGUAACGGCCCACCAAGGCGACGAUGGGUAUCCGGCCUGAGAGGGUGAACGGACACAUUGGGACUGAGAUACGGCCCAAACUCCUACGGGAGGCAGCAGCUAAGAAUAUUCCGCAAUGGACGAAAGUCUGACGGAGCGACGCCGCGUGGAUGAAGAAGGCUGAAAAGUUGUAAAAUCCUUUUGUUGAUGAAGAAUAAGGGUGAGAGGGAAUGCUCAUCUGAUGACGGUAAUCGGCGAAUAAGCCCCGGCUAAUUACGUGCCAGCAGCCGCGGUAACACGUAAGGGGCGAGCGUUGUUCGGAAUUAUUGGGCGUAAAGGGCAUGUAGGCGGCUAUGUAAGCCUGAUGUGAAAUCCUGGGGCUUAACCCUAGAAUAGCAUUGGGUACUGUGUAACUUGAAUUACGGAAGGGAAACUGGAAUUCCAAGUGUAGGGGUGGAAUCUGUAGAUAUUUGGAAGAACACCGGUGGCGAAGGCGGGUUUCUGGCCGAUAAUUGACGCUGAGAUGCGAAAGUGUGGGGAUCGAACAGGAUUAGAUACCCUGGUAGUCCACACCGUAAACGAUGUACACUAGGUGUUGGGGCAAGAGCUUCAGUGCCAAAGCAAACGCGAUAAGUGUACCGCCUGGGGAGUAUGCCCGCAAGGGUGAAACUCAAAGGAAU
rnacentral:rRNA from 1 species